GUGCUCCGGUAGAAUUCUUCAUGGCAUGAGGUGGCAGUGGCUAUGGGGUCAAGCUCCUCUGCCUUUGGAAAGGGAAGAAGAGUGGGAAGGACUGCGUCUUAUGGUUUCAGUGCCAACUUAGCCACAAUACCAUAGAACACCAGGUAGGCUUCUAAGGUUUUUGAUAGAACACCAAGCAGAUUUAUCCUAAUGAAGACUACCUCAAGACAUUUAAUAAUCAUACUCCCAAAGGUAAACAAUACAGAAAGAAUCCUUUAAAUGCAGCAAGACAGAGGAAACAACGUACAAGGGAGCUCUGGCUGUUCCGCUAUGGAGUAGCCAUUCUUUUAUUUCUUUACUUUCUUAAUAAACUUGCUUUCACUUUAUGGAUUCACCUCAAAAUCUUUCUUGUGCAAGCUCCAAGAACCUUCUCUUGGGGUCUGGAUCGGGACCCCUUUCUAGUAACAUCUUCCUGGCGAACCAUGAAGGGAUGAUACUGAGGAGACCCCCGACCCAAAGGAAAUAGACUGCAGCAACAAUUGACUGACUUUGGGUAAGUGGUGGGGUAUCCAGUAAAGGAUGGGAUUGAGUUAGAGGCCCAAUUUAGGGGAGUUAGAGCCUCUCCUAGAAACAGAGAGGGUUAAAGCACUUUCUCUAGAGACAGAGAGGGUUAAAGGCCCCUCUUAAAAGGCAAUGACACUUGACCAAACUUGGGUUUGAGGCCCAACUUAGGAAGGUUACAGACCUUCCUAAGAUUUAGGGGGUUAGAGGAUCCUCUCAAUAAAGUCCCUGUCGGCUAAAAAAUUGAUUUGACACCAUGGGAUGUUAACUGUUACUCUCUUUGGAUUAAUCUGCCUUGCACUCUGCUGAUGGCUGUGACAGGAUUAGGCAGGUACAGGAUCAUGGGAUAAGGGGAGCUUUUUUUUCCCUAAAGGGGAAAACUUGAGAGCUAAUGGGAAUGCUGCAGAAGAUCCUUUGUGACCAACAAACAGCUGCCUGAACUUUUGAUUAAAUGUCACUGCAAUGGGUGGGUCUUUCUCUAGCCUCCCUGAGCUCUUCGACUUCCCCACCUUGCAGCAAGCAAUGCUUUUCUCUCUCUCUCUUCUUUCCCUUUAUUAUUUUUUCUGUUACUUGGGGUGACCAUCUUGCCCAGAGAACCACAUGUUGAAACUAUUUUAAUCCACUUUGAAUGGAUUAAAGGUGACAGAGCCCAUCAGGGGGCAAGUUUGAGCUUUGCCAGCUCAAUAUUUGUAUGGUUUGUCAUAUGUAUUUUUCUCUGGCUGAAUGGAAAAUAUUAAUUCAGGUCCCCCAUGCAACCAGUUGGGUGGCCACUUGCAAAAUUGAGAGGCUUUUGCCUGUGGUUCCAUGAAACAGAAAAAAAAAAUUCUUUUGUGUUGUGGCUUGGCCCCAAGGGCUUUGAGGUAGCAAGCAAGUUAGCCCUAAAAAUUAUAUUGAGCAGUUAAAAGCCUAUGCAAGCUCAAAACUGACUGCUCUAGGCUCCUUCUGGGAAGAGCAAUAGAACUGUCCAGUGCUGUAGCUUAGUAGCUAAGGCUUAUUAGUUUCACCUGGGAGAAAGUUCAAAAGCCAGAAAUAUUGGCCAUUGGCCUGGCUUUACUUACACCUUAUGCAAAAAUUAACUCAAGAUGGAUUAAAGGCUUAAAAGUAAAACCCAAAACCAUAAAAACUCUAGAAGAAAACCUAGGCAAUACCAUUCAGGACAUAGGCAUGGGCAAAGACUUCAUGACUAAAACACCAAAAGUAGGAAGGAUAAAGUUAAAAUGUAGAGUUUUUAUUAGUUUUCUCUUUGCUUGCUUGUUUUUAUAUAAUUGUUAACUUGUCAUCAGUUUAAAAUAAUAUAUUAUGUUAUUUGCAAGCCUUAUGGUAACCUCAAAUCAAAAAUUAAACAUACAACAUAUAACAAAAAGAAGCUAGACAUUAAAGAACAGCGGUAGGGAAAAUCACUUUCACCAAAAGGAAGACAGGAAGGAAAGAAGGAGGGAAGAGAAGACAACAAAACACCAGUAAACAAGAAAAUGAAAGGAGUAAAUCAUUACUGAUCAAUAAUAACACUGAAUAUAAGUGGAUUAAACUCUCCAGUGAAAAGAAAUAGAGUGGC
rnacentral:lncRNA from 1 species